AACAAAGAAGUAAAAUUUUUACUUUUAGUUUCGACCUAAAUAUAGAGUAAUCUCCAUGUUU
rnacentral:tRNA from 1 species